UCUGUUUCUGCUCCGAAGCAGUAAUGCGUUCCGAUUUGAAAGGCUCUGAGCAGCCUUUCUACUAUACAAUUGACAUCUAAGCUAUUUGCUCUAGUAACCAGUUAAACAAUGCCGUGAGAUCCUUCACCAGGCUCUCCGAUUAAAAAGAAAUACAAAACGUUGACUUUUCGAUCCUAGGACUCUGGAAUUUAUGAACUUAUAAAACGAGAUGCGUCUGUAAAAGACCCUUGUCCAAUGUUCAAAUGUAUUUCACUAGAUUUCGAACGUGAAGAAGUUUACAAGAUUAAUUUAGCACUCAAUACAUUACGCAUUGCCUUACAUUCCCGACUAAACAACUGAUUGUAGUCGAAAUAGAACCUUCGGAGAAGUUUAAUUUUGUUGAUAACAGAAUUUUCUUGCCUACAAACCCGCAACCAAAAAUGUUUUCAUAUGCAGAACAGCGGUCAAGACUAUAACCCUUGAUUUUCUGAUUUUCUUUUAUCUCAAAACCAUAUAACAAUUACAUAAAUUACAGAAUGCAGAAGAUCCACUUUGUUAAUAUGUGUACAUGGAUUAAAUGUAAUCUGUCGACUUCACUCUUUGUUUAAGUACGAAUUCAUUUUAUAAUAUUCAUUCUGGAAAAUAAAUCUCAACUAAACUGUGCAUUCUUUUGUUGCAGAUAACUUUGAUUUGUAUAUUGAUGUACCAUAACAUAAUGUAUAAUGUUACUCUAAACAAGAACAGACAGUUUAAAUAAACCACUUUUAUUGGUAUCAUACUAUGGCUUGUACAAUCAGAAUUACGCGUGAGAAUGCCCUAAACCAAAUCUAUAGGGCUAAACAAUAGAUACAAACCAAUGUCCGGCGUAAUAAAUAAAAGCAAUUGCUUGACUUCAUUAUGAGUGAAUAAAGAAUAUAAAAUAAUGAAAUGGACAGAGAAUAGAUACGAACUAAGACAACUUGGGAGGGAGAAAACAGACGGCGAAGAAGCACUAAGAAAAAUUCAAAUGAUCAUCGAUCUAUUGCUAAAUGCUCAUAAUCGAAAUGAGAUUAACAAUACACGUACCACAACCUACUAGUAAUCAAUUUACGAACUUGCAGUUAUCGGAGGACGUGGAGAUGUAACUACAUUUUAUCGUUGAAAUCGAAUAUCUUCUUCGCGCCUUAACUAGGCGUGGCUGAAGGCUGCCUGAUACCGGAAAUUUUGAAAAUCUGGCCCAGGUCAGGAAAAUAGACGAUUUGGCCAUUAAAUAGUCACAUCCUUGAAAUCGGAAAAUUUUAAUAAGGUAUCUAGUGUACAUUGGAAACCUGCCUCAAUUGUUUCAACACCUGUUAAGGCGAUGUUGACGCUUGCGAGAUCUGCCGAUCCGACCAAACUGCCGCCGGCGCAGUUCAUCCAAUAAUUACCCGGUGUCACCAUCAUAUGAAGUAAAAUAAUCAACUACCAUCAACAAGAUAAUGUUUAUUUAAAAUAAACGAUCAUGAAAGUCGACGCAUUUGACGUGCGACACAAUUUAAGAAUGUAACUAUUGUACUUCGACGCAUAUUGUCUUGAAGAACAAUUACGUUCUUUUCACAUUUUUUCCAGACUACCAUUACUACCUAUUUCAUAUUUUUUUUAGUUUAUUGAAUAUUCCAGAAUAAUUUGAUUGAUUGGCACAUCAAAUCACUGUAACUAUAGGACGUUAAUAUUUACGCCCCGGGGUGUAAGUGGCUAAACUACCAACAAUCUAGCCAAAGCCAACCUCACCUGCCCGCGGUGCACCCUGCCGACCAACGAACGAGGCUCUGGCAACCUUCCCCUCCCCCUUUCCCCUUUUCCUUCUGUUCUCUUUUAUCCAAAUUCAACUAUUUCUUACACAUUGUAUUCUUGACGUCUCUAAAGUGACAGUAUGCGCCGAAUGAUACUCAAUAAUAUUGUCGUCUCAGCCACAUCCUACAUUGCUGCCACGUAUAGUUGGUUACGAUUAACAAAAUGUACUAAGAUCGUAUCGUAGUCGUACUAUCAUCAAAACAAUACAGUGCAAAUGAGAUUUUAGACGCGAUCGAAACAUGAAGCGACGUCCGGUGAGAAGAGUCAUUUGCGCUAAGUACUGAAUUAACUAAAGAAUUCUGCGAACUAAUGAAAUUGUUAAGAAUGUAUACGAUACACAGUUUAUACUUUUGUUAUGUUUUUCAAUCUUUCCUUUCUUGUUUUCUCCCCUCGCCUUCUUCCUACCAGCUAUCCCUGUCUCUACCAGCAGAGUCAAACUUGAAGUCCUACUCCUACCUAAACUUUUCAAAAACAAGGCAGCGAUAUGAGAUUCGUCGCACAUUUGUUUCUGAAAAAGCGAGGAGAACGGAACGUGUGUAUUUACCACCUAAAACGCACUUGUUUAGAUGUUACGAAUGUAACUGGGAGAGUGAAGAACUCUGGUAAUGUUAUCUGGAAUGUCACGAGUCUAAGCUAUUGUUUGUCUGCGUAGACUGCGAUUCACGUUUUAGAUAACAUUGAUUGGCUUGUUUUGAUCGACAACGGCGACACAUCUCGUUUCCUGGUUGUUGUAGUUGUAAGGUGUUCUGUGAACGUGCUGUAAAUUAGGUUUAAGAAUAACCAAGUAACUGGACGUGCCGUAGUACGAACUCGUUUCGAAGAUGUUAUCACAAUCAUUCUAAACUUGUCCGCACGUCGUUGGUUUGUAUCUCUAGAAGCCACUUUCGUCCUCGCGACGAUUAUUGUUAUUAUAAAUUGUGAUCGGUAUACGUGCGUUCUUCUACUAAACACAUAUACCGAUCAUCCUAUUUCGGCAAUUUCAAAAUUUGCUGAUAUGGCACACAUAAAAUGUAUUUCUCUAUAGCGUAAUGCAUCAAAUGUAAGUAAAGCUUUUCCCCAGUUUGAUGAUUGAUGCGAUCAAUCAUUUUGCUCCGCGUGAGCUGCGCUAAAUAAAUAAAUAAAAAUUCAA
rnacentral:lncRNA from 1 species